rnacentral:rRNA from 1 species
AUUGAACGCUGGCGGCAUGCCUUACACAUGCAAGUCGAACGGCAGCGGGGGAGAAGCUUGCUUUUCCUGCCGGCGAGUGGCGAACGGGUGAGUAAUACAUCGGAACGUGCCCUGUAGUGGGGGAUAACUAGUCGAAAGAUUAGCUAAUACCGCAUACGACCUGAGGGUGAAAGUGGGGGACCGCAAGGCCUCAUGCUAUAGGAGCGGCCGAUGUCUGAUUGGCUAGUUGGUGGGGUAAAGGCCUACCAAGGCGACGAUCAGUAGCUGGUCUGGGAGGACGAUCAGCCACACUGGGACUGAGACACGGCCCAGACUCCUACGGGAGGCAGCAGUGGGGAAUUUUGGACAAUGGGCGAAAGCCUGAUCCAGCAAUGCCGCGUGUGUGAAGAAGGCCUUCGGGUUGUAAAGCACUUUUGUCCGGAAAGAAAUGGCUCUGGUUAAUACCUGGGGUCGAUGACGGUACCGGAAGAAUAAGGACCGGCUAACUACGUGCCAGCCGCCGCCGUAA